rfam:Anopheles farauti strain FAR1 unplaced genomic scaffold supercont2.4, whole genome shotgun sequence.
UGACGGAAACCCGUAGAUCCGAACUUGUGCUGUUUGUUCGAUUGUCACAAGAACGGAUAUACGGGAUUCUGUCGA